rnacentral:rRNA from 1 species
CUACAGGCUUAACACAUGCAAGUCGAGGGGCAUCAGGAAGAAAGCUUGCUUUCUUUGCUGGCGACCGGCGCACGGGUGAGUAACACGUAUCCAACCUGCCCUUUACUCGGGGAUAGCCUUUCGAAAGAAAGAUUAAUACCCGAUGGCAUAAUGAUUCCGCAUGGUUUCAUUAUUAAAGGAUUCCGGUAAAGGAUGGGGAUGCGUUCCAUUAGGUUGUUGGUGAGGUAACGGCUCACCAAGCCUUCGAUGGAUAGGGGUUCUGAGAGGAAGGUCCCCCACAUUGGAACUGAGACACGGUCCAAACUCCUACGGGAGGCGGCAGUGAGGAAUAUUGGUCAAUGGGCGCUAGCCUGAACCAGCCAAGUAGCGUGAAGGAUGAAGGCUCUAUGGGUCGUAAACUUCUUUUAUAUAAGAAUAAAGUGCAGUAUGUAUACUGUUUUGUAUGUAUUAUAUGAAUAAGGAUCGGCUAACUCCGUGCCAGCAGCCGCGGUAAUACGGAGGAUCCGAGCGUUAUCCGGAUUUAUUGGGUUUAAAGGGAGCGUAGGUGGACUGGUAAGUCAGUUGUGAAAGUUUGCGGCUCAACCGUAAAAUUGCAGUUGAUACUGUCAGUCUUGAGUACAGUAGAGGUGGGCGGAAUUCGUGGUGUAGCGGUGAAAUGCUUAGAUAUCACGAAGAACUCCGAUUGCGAAGGCAGCUCACUGGACUGCAACUGACACUGAUGCUCGAAAGUGUGGGUAUCAAACAGGAUUAGAUACCCUGGUAGUCCACACAGUAAACGAUGAAUACUCGCUGUUUGCGAUAUACAGUAAGCGGCCAAGCGAAAGCAUUAAGUAUUCCACCUGGGGAGUACGCCGGCAACGGUGAAACUCAAAGGAAUUGACGGGGGCCCGCACAAGCGGAGGAACAUGUGGUUUAAUUCGAUGAUACGCGAGGAACCUUACCCGGGCUUAAAUUGCAGUGGAAUGAUGUGGAAACAUGUCAGUGAGCAAUCACCGCUGUGAAGGUGCUGCAUGGUUGUCGUCAGCUCGUGCCGUGAGGUGUCGGCUUAAGUGCCAUAACGAGCGCAACCCUUAUCUUUAGUUACUAACAGGUUAUGCUGAGGACUCUAGAGAGACUGCCGUCGUAAGAUGUGAGGAAGGUGGGGAUGACGUCAAAUCAGCACGGCCCUUACGUCCGGGGCUACACACGUGUUACAAUGGGGGGUACAGAAGGCAGCUAGCGGGUGACCGUAUGCUAAUCCCAAAAGCCUCUCUCAGUUCGGAUCGAAGUCUGCAACCCGACUUCGUGAAGCUGGAUUCGCCAGUAAUCGCGCAUCAGCCACGGCGCGGUGGAUACGUUCCCGGGCCUUGUACACACCGCCCGUCAAGCCAUGGGAGCCGGGGGUACCUGAAGUACGUAACCGCAAGGAGCGUCCUAGGGUAAAACUGGUAAUUGGGGCU